CUUAGAGAAAGCCUGUUUUGAACGUCUCUAACAGAAAGCAUAGCUGCGCAUAGAACGUAAGGGCAGAAAUUGGUGUCAGGGAGAAACCAUACAGGUAACUGAGGCCCUCAGAUACUCAGGAAUAGGGGGUGCUGGUGACUCCCAGAAGAGAGAAGAAUGCAGCUGCUUUUGAUAAGAACUAAGUACAUGUUGGGAGAGGAAGACUCAGUCUUAAGGAUGAGGGAAUUGGGAAUGUGGACCUGGCUAGUGGUCAUCUUUCUGUAACUCCAGUGGCAGUUAAACUGCUUCAACGGGUCUUCAAGAUGCAAAAGGUGGAUAUGUUGUCCUUCACUUACAACGGGAUGACAUAGUGAUGAGCCAACUGAGAGCUGCAGAGGCAUUUAACACAUGCCUCACCUUUGGCCUACCG
rnacentral:lncRNA from 1 species